GAUGAACGCUGGCGGCGUGCUUAACACAUGCAAGUCGAACGGUGAAGCCAAGCUUGCUUGGUGGAUCAGUGGCGAACGGGGGAGUAACACGUGAGCAACCUGCCCUGGACUCUGGGAUAAGCGCUGGAAACAGCGUCUAAUACUGGAGAUGAGCCUCUUCCGCAUGGUGGGGGUUGGAAAGAUUUUUUGGUCUGGGAUGGGCUCGCGGCCUAUCAGCUUGUUGGUGGGGUAGUGGCUCACCAAGGCGUCGACGGGUAGCCGGCCUGAGAGGGUGACCGGCCACACUGGGACUGAGACACGGCCCAGACUCCUACGGGAGGCAGCAGUGGGGAAUAUUGCACAAUGGGCGAAAGCCUGAUGCAGCAACGCCGCGUGCGGGAUGACGGCCUUCGGGUUGUAAACCUCUUUUAGCAGGGAAGAAGCGAAAGUGACGGUACCUGCAGAAAAAGCGCCGGCUAACUACGUG
rnacentral:rRNA from 1 species